rnacentral:rRNA from 1 species
GACGAACGCUGGCGGCGUGCUUAACACAUGCAAGUCGAACGGAAAGGCCCUGCUUUUGUGGGGUGCUCGAGUGGCGAACGGGUGAGUAACACGUGAGUAACCUGCCCUUGACUUUGGGAUAACUUCAGGAAACUGGGGCUAAUACCGGAUAGGAGCUCCUGCUGCAUGGUGGGGGUUGGAAAGUUUCGGCGGUUGGGGAUGGACUCGCGGCUUAUCAGCUUGUUGGUGGGGUAGUGGCUUACCAAGGCUUUGACGGGUAGCCGGCCUGAGAGGGUGACCGGCCACGUGGGGCCGGAGAUCGGGCCCGGACUCCGCGGGGGGGAGGAGGGGGGAAUUAUGCAACAGGGGGGGGAGGCUGGUGGCAGCACCCCCGGGGGGGGGAUGGCGGCUUUGGGUUGUAAAACCUCUUUCGCCUGUGAAGAGGGGGGAGUGAGGUAAAGGGGUAAAGAAGCCCCGGCAAACUCCGUC